rnacentral:misc_RNA from 1 species
UUGUGGAGGAGGACGCCGAAGGUGGGGCUAAUGACUGGGGUGAAGUCGUAACAAGGUAGCCGUACCGGAAGGUGCGGCUGGAUCACCUCCUAACAGGGAGACAACAAAAUGUUUAAUAUUAUUAUUUUGUCACCUUAGGUCGAUCGGUAUCUCACGUUCUUAAUUUAUUAAGAAUUUCAUUUCCUAAGUUUUUCUAGGUCACACCCAUUAUUUUUCCUGGGCCAUUAGCUCAGGUGGUUAGAGCGCACCCCUGAUAAGGGUGAGGUCCCUGGUUCAAGUCCAGGAUGGCCCAUAUCUCUAUGUUGGGGGUAUAGCUCAGUUGGUAGAGCGCCUGCUUUGCAAGCAGGAUGUCAGCGGUUCGAGUCCGCUUACCUCCACUGAUUACCACCUCUUCCAUAACCGGUAAUAAAGGAAAUGUUUUGAGUUGUGAUCAAAUUCUGAAAGAAUCUAGCUUCCUAAUGAAAUCAUUAAGAUGCUGGACUCAUUGAAUUAAUUUCAUUGUUUUCAGAGAACCUUGACAACUGCAUAGAUUAUUUUUAAAGACAAUAAGCAUCUUUAAUGAUGCAGAUUUAUUAUUUGUGCGAAUGCAUUAAUAACAAUUCUAUUAAGCUGAUGCUUCAAUUUUUGAAGUUAUUGGUCAAGCUACAA